UGAAAUUGAGAGGGGGGAGAUGAUCUGACACCAGAGAGCUGGAUUUAGAAAUUGCGGGCGUCUGGAAUGGCCGACAGGCCGGUUUGACAGCGGGCCAGCGCAGUAUGCGCUCCUGUGGUCGGGGAGCCAGGUCGAACGGGACGACGGUGCUGCGCGUGUGUGGGCGUGCGGCCCACGCGCACCACGGUCAGCAAUAGCACUCUCCCCGCUAGCUUCUGAGCUCCUCGGCGUCGUCGUGCAUUUCCCGGUGACUUCAACAACCAGCACAGCCGUAAAUACAAGGUCUGAACUGUGUCCCGUAACUGAAGAACCCCUGGCAGGCAGGAUCGCUCUUGUGUCUCGGUCAUCUUCGUAGCCAGCUCAGGCCUGAUCAACGAUAAGCAGCACUUCACAGACGGCCAGAUGCCUUGAUCAGGAGACCCCCAGGAGAUCAAGUGAGCAUGACGGUUCUCAUCACUUGGUUUGAAUGAUGCAGGAGGAAGAAGUGAGGGAUUAUUCGUGCACUAAUUCCAAUCUGCUUUUCACAAGACAGAGAGGUAAAAAAAUACCUGAAAUCGGUCAUAGGAGUAACAACAAAAUUGAGCACUCCCUAUAUGCCCGAAGCCACGGUCAUACACUCCUCAGAGCGCCAGGACAGACGUACUAUCAACGUGAUUUUAAAUUUGGUUGGGGUGGGGGGGAACAGCUGGGACACGGAGAAAUAAAUAUCUUGCUCUGGGCCACAGAGCUGGGAACAGCACCCGGCACCCAGCUCCCUUCCCACCCACGGAGACGUGAGGGACCAGGCACUAAGCACACCUGCCGUCCGCCACGUCGGGGACCCUGGAGUG